rnacentral:rRNA from 1 species
UAGGGAAUCUUCCACAAUGGGCGAAAGCCUGAUGGAGCAACGCCGCGUGUGUGAUGAAGGGUUUCGGCUCGUAAACACUGUUGUAAGAGAAGAAUGACAUUGAGAGUAACUGUUCAAUGUGUGACGGUAUCUUACCCGAAAGGAACGGCUAAAUACGUGCUAG